rnacentral:rRNA from 1 species
CCUACGGGGGACAGCAGUGAGGAAUAUUGGUCAAUGGACGAGAGUCUGAACCAGCCAAGUAGCGUGAAGGAUGACUGCCCUAUGGGUUGUAAACUUCUUUUAUAUGGGAAUAAAAUGUUCCACGUGUGGGAUUUUGUAUGUACCAUAUGAAUAAGGAUCGGCUAACUCCGUGCCAGCAGCCGCGGUAAUACGGAGGAUCCGAGCGUUAUCCGGAUUUAUUGGGUUUAAAGGGAGCGUAGGUGGAUUGUUAAGUCAGUUGUGAAAGUUUGCGGCUCAACCGUAAAAUUGCAGUUGAAACUGGCAGUCUUGAGUACAGUAGAGGUGGGCGGAAUUCGUGGUGUAGCGGUGAAAUGCUUAGAUAUCACGAAGAACUCCGAUUGCGAAGGCAGUUCACUGGACUGCAACUGACACUGAGGCUCGAAAGUGUGGGUAUCAAACAGGAUUAGUUACCCGAGUAGUC